rnacentral:tRNA from 1 species
GGGAAUGUGGCUUAGUGGUAGAGUGCUUGCCUAACAUGCAUGAAGCCAGGUUCAAUUCCUCAGUACCA